AAACAAAAACACUGAAGGUCCUAAUCAGUGUUUCUCUUUGUUGGGAGUUUAAAUUAUGAAUCACACUCACAGGGCGCCCUGGUGGCCUAAUGGUUAAGGCGCAUACCACAUAACUGCGACAUCCACGGUUCAGCUCCUGGCCGCAGGACCUGUGUUACAUGUCAUACAACCCCCUCCCUCCUUCCCUCUCGCUCUCUUUCUCUAUUUCUCCCUCUGUAUUUCCUGUCUCUGCACUGGCUGUCAAAUAGAGGCAAAAAGCAUUCUGAAAAAAUCAUCUUUAAAAGAAACAAAACAGGAAUCACAUUCACUGUUGACGCUCUUGGCACUACUACCAGGUGUCAUAAGAGAGAAUAUGUCAAUUUUAGUUAAUAUCUUCUUCUACUUCUCUUGUUUUUCUGGUCCUUUUUUCCACAUUUCCUUUAGUUUCCAAAUGUCUCCCUGUCUAGUGUCUACUCUGUUUUCUCUUCCUAAACCCCACACACACACACACAAUACCACCUCCUGAUUCUUAUCACACAGUUUCUCUCACUCUCUGUUUAUCCGCAGGUAUCUCUGCUGUGACACUCAGUCAGAAAUGAGGGAGUGGUAUGCUACCUUUCUCAGUAUCCAGUAUGACGGCAACAUUUGGCCUCAGGAUGGACUCCAGCAGACACGGGUUAGCCGUGUGCUGCCGGAUACUCGUCAUGGUAACGUGUCACUGAUACCGCUGCGUGGCAGUGAGAAUGAGAUGCGGAACAGCGUAGCAGCUUUCAGCCAAGACCCGCUUGCUCUCUUUAGAGAUGUUCGAUAAUGGUUGCUGCAAGGAAGGACAGAUGAUCGGCCUCAUCAGACGACCGCUCAACAUUCCAGUAACAUCGUCAUUCUGCAGCUGUACAGACCAGACUCUGAGACACUUUUGAACAUGAACUGGACCAAAAACUAAAUGGACAACGAGAUCACAUGUAAAAUACAAUCUACACUGGUUUUCCUGCACAAUUGAAUUUUACUUGACUUGAUGUACAUAAAAAAAUGAAAGAGACAGUUUGACGGACUACAAUCGCCAUGAAGAUUUCCUUUAUGCUUCCAGCUCGGCGCCGGCUCCGCACCCCACUGUUACAUUGAUCAGUGGUAUUUACUGCAUUGCAUUAUGGGACAGAAGCAUGAAAAACAUGCUGCAGAGAAAUGUUUAAUCCUAUAUUGUGUUUGUUUUCAGAAAGGACGUAGGUUAUUCUAAGGCACUAGCUCUUAAGUGCUUAGAAAGUCUUUUUUUAUAGAAAACAGAAGCUUAUUGACAUGCAGUUGAUGCUGAUUCUGAUCUAUAUUUUUGUGACGUUUUUAGCUCUUUCUAUACUGUUGCUCACAGACGAAUUGUUAGGAUAAUCCUGCAGUUCAAAAUGUAAUAAUUGCUAUUGUAAGCAAAGCUGAUGUCGUAGGAGGCGGUGUCCUGACGGGGUGGAUCAAUGUCUGUUUCCUCGCAGGUCGUCUGCCUGUACUGUGCAAAACCUUGGCCAGAGUUGCAUAUUUUGUCAAUUAAUUUGUCUGCAUAAGUGUGUCGGAUUGUGCAUACAGUAUGUUUGUGAAUAUGUGUGUGGACAAGUUGUACGUGUGUCUUUUGAGAAGUGGAUGAAGGAGAGGCAUGUGCUGAAAAACAUUACUUUUCUUUAAUGAAAUAGAAGAAAGUCACAGGUCACGACGCAAUAUGGCUUCUUUUGCCAAUAGUUUGUCAUAAGAUGUGAUAAAAUAAGUGACGUACUUACUUUAUCAUUAUCUUUUAUUCCCACGUUAGGUAGGUCAAUUUGCAUAUCGAGUUUACAUAUUGAAAACAAUGUGUUGACCUUAUCAGCAGUCUUGUCUGUCCCACUGCUCUUAGUUUAAGCUCUGUCUCUUCAUCCUGUCCUACAGUCCUCAGCACUGCCUCAUCUCUGCAGGCCUUUUACUAAAGUGAGUCUGAGGCAGUUCACAGUGCACAAGCAGUGAUUUAUCAGCAGUAUUUAAGGAGUGGUGGAUUUUGAAUGACUUUGCAUUGGAUUUAAUCUUUGUUACCUGAAACACUGGUGAGCAUGUUUAUAGUGUGUCAUCUUUCAUCGUUGUUUUCUACUUUGAGCCCAAACAAUGUAUAUGUUUGUCUAAAGUAAAAGUCAUAAAAAAACAAUCUGUUAACUGUAUUAACCUGUCAAAGACCAGCUGCACUGGACUGCCCCAUCUCGCGAUCUUGUAGAAAGAUUUCUUAUUUAUUUUGACAGCAGAGUACGCUAGAUGCUGUGCUGUAGAACACAUUUGAUCUACUGGUGAUAUUACGAUGUUCAGCUAAAUGUUCUUAACACCUUUUUGGCACAGUGCUUGUAAAAAUGUGGUGUGUGUGUGUGUGUGUCUGUGUGUGUGUGUGUGUGUGUGUGUGUGUGUGUGUGUGUGUGUGUGUGUGUGUGUGUGUGUGUGUGUGUGUGUGUGUGUGUGUGUGUGUGUGUGUGUGUGUGUGUGUGUGUGUGUGUGUGUGUGUGUGUGUGUGUGUGUGUGUGUGUGUGUGUGUGUGAACAGCUCGGACCUCAGCAGGACUUGGGAGAAGUCUCCACUGUGUGGUGUUGUAAUUACAGUGCCUAUAGAAAGUACUCAUACUCUGUUUCUGACCUUUUUUCUUAUCAUUUUACAGCAUUAAUCACAGUGGAUGUACAGUUUGUAGUAUUUUCUUGAUGCUGACAAUUAGAAAAAGGCUUACAAAAAAAAAAAAUUUAAGUUGUUUGCGUACAUUUAACAUCCACUUAACGUCAAGAAGCUCAUCAUAGCAUUAAACUGUCUUCAACACCCCUUCUGUAGCUCCUUCAGUGUUCCUCUCACUCUGUUUUGGGGUUAUCUCUUUAUAAAGCUGGACAAUAACGACACUCACAGGUAGAUGUGGUUUCUUGGAAAUUGUCUUGUACGAUUUCCCCGAUUUGGUUCUUUUUUUAAAACUUCUCACUGAAUGCUUUUGAUUCAAGUGUGUUUAACUUAAAAUGAUUCAUGAUCUCUAUUUAACUUAUUAUGCCUCUUCCGCCUGCAGCCGUGAUAAAAGUAGACGAAUACGUUUUAUCACUAAUUUAUUUGUAGAGGGCUUUUUCUGUUGAUCAUGGCCAAAAAGUCUACUAAUUACAUCCACUGUGAAUCAAUGUAGUAAAAAUAUAAAAAGUCCAACAAGUGGUGGUGAUGAAUAUUUUACAUAAGCAGUGUAUGUUUUCUCUACUGUCUCUGUUCUUACUCUGCAUUUUACUGAUUUUUUUUUGCAUCUCUGAAACUCUAAUAAACACAUUCAGCUAGG